AGAUGCGAUCAUACCAGCACUAAAGCACCGGAUCCCAUCAAAACUCCGAAGUUAAGCGUGCUUGGGCGAGAGUAGUACUAGGGUGGGUGACCUCCUGGGAAGUCCUCGUGUUGCAUUCC
rnacentral:rRNA from 1 species